rnacentral:rRNA from 1 species
GUCUAUGGCCAUGCCAUCCUGAACAAGCUUGAUCCCAUCUGAUCUCAGAAGCUAAGCAGGGGCAGGCCUGGUUAAUACUUGGAUGGGAGACCAUCUAGGAAGACCAGGUGCUGUAGAUG